rnacentral:rRNA from 1 species
AACGAACGCUGGCGGCAUGCCUAACACAUGCAAGUCGAACGAGACCUUCGGGUCUAGUGGCGCACGGGUGCGUAACGCGUGGGAACCUGCCCUUAGGUUCGGAAUAACUCCCCGAAAGGGGUGCUAAUACCGGAUAAUGUCUUCGGACCAAAGAUUUAUCGCCUUUGGAUGGGCCCGCGUUGGAUUAGCUAGUUGGUAGGGUAAAAGCCUACCAAGGCGACGAUCCAUAGCUGGUCUGAGAGGAUGAUCAGCCACACUGGGACUGAGACACGGCCCAGACUCCUACGGGAGGCAGCAGGAGGGAAUAUUGGACAAUGGGCGAAAGCCUGAUCCAGCAAUGCCGCGUGAGUGAUGAAGGCCUUAGGGUUGUAAAGCUCUUUUACCCGGGAUGAUAAUGACAGUACCGGGAGAAUAAGCUCCGGCUAACUCCGUG